UACGUAGGUGGCAAGCGUUGUCCGGAUUUACUGGGUGUAAAGGGCGUGUAGGCGGGCUGACAAGUCAGAUGUGAAAUUCCGGGGCUCAACCCCGGACCUGCAUUUGAAACUGUUAUUCUAGAGUAUGGGAGAGGUAGGUGGAAUUCUUGGUGUAGGGGUUAAAUCCGUAGAGAUCAAGAGGAAUACUCAUUGCGAAGGCGACCUGCUAGAACAUAACUGACGCUGAUGCGCGAAAGCGUGGGGAGCAAACAGG
rnacentral:rRNA from 1 species